rnacentral:rRNA from 1 species
UUAUGGCUCAGGACGAACGCUGGCGGCGUGCUUAACACAUGCAAGUCGAGCGAUGAAGCUUCUUCGGAAGUGGAUUAGCGGCGGACGGGUGAGUAACACGUGGGUAACCUACCUCAUAGAGGGGAAUAGCCUUCCGAAAGGAAGAUUAACACCGCAUAAGAUUGUAAUAUCGCAUGAUAUAGCAAUUAAAGGAGCAAUCCGCUAUGAGAUGGACCCGCGUCGCAUUAGCUAGUUGGUGAGGUAACGGCCCACCAAGGCGACGAUGCGUAGCCGACCUGAGAGGGUGAUCGGCCACAUUGGGACUGAGACACGGCCCAGACUCCUACGGGAGGCAGCAGUGGGGAAUAUUGCACAAUGGGGGAAACCCUGAUGCAGCCAACGCCGCGUGAGUGAUGACGGUCUUCGGAUUGUAAAGCUCUGUCUUCAGGGACGAUAAUGACGGUACCUGAGGAGGAAGCCACGGCUAACUACGUGCCAGCCGCAGC